CAUAUUUACUGUGUGCCAUGCAAGAGGCUCAGUUUUUCCCUCAAAGAGUUUAUAUCACAGGGCUCAGGACAUGCUACCCCAAAACAUGGCAGAUUGGAUAUUGAAUAUUUUAAAUAUUGAAUAUUAAAUGUGACAAAUUGGCAUAUUAAAAUUGAGAAAAUGCACCUGCCCAAAGGGCUUUCUGACCUUCCCCUAAUAAAGGUCACAAGUCCCAGAGGAAAGGAGCAUUCCCACUCCUGCAGAGGAAAGGACAGAGAGAAAUCUGAAUGAACAGGACUUGCUAAGUUUACCUAGCUUACUACACUUACUUCCUAUCCUCUGUUCCAUCAUAUCUUUCCACGAUUUCCCACUCUUCCUCAAACCUAGCAUGAAAACACUCAGAUUUAACCAUUUCACUGGGUCUUCACUUUGUCAUGAAGGCCAUUAUGUCACAUUAAACUUACAUUAAAUACACUUGUAUGCUCUUCUCUGGUUUCUCUUUAUCUUUUGUUGCUGAUUGUCCUGUUGAGAACUAAACAGGGUAGAGGAAAAAGAUACUUUCCUCUCUUACUAUUAGUAAUAGAGUGGGGAAAUGAGAGGAAGAAAAAUACAAUUAUGUGCAAAAAUAGGGGUAUAGUAAUGAAAUAAACAACAAAGGAAGAUUAGUAAACACUAUGAAUUCAUUAUUGAAAAAAAUACUUCCAAGCACUGUCUUUACUUUCACCUUGGAAGACAGUCUAAUUUUUAUUACCUGAGUACCAACUAAGAACACAGUCUUAGGCAUGUGGAAAAGCACACAAAAGAAAUAAGUGGUACUAUGUCUAAUAGAAGAUAUGUUAAGCCUACUGGAUAAAUAAAACACAUGUAUCCAAAACCUCAAGACAGUAAUAAAAGCAAUAUACAUUGAAAUGUAAUGAAUUUACUAUAAAGAAAAUGCGUAUGUGUUCAGGUAAAAAAAGUAUUGUUUAAAAAGAACGCAUAUUAAACAAACCUAAAGGAAUGCCUGGGUGGCUCAGCAGUUCAGUGUCUGCCUUUGGCUCAGAGCGUGAUCCCAGAGUCCCAGGAUCAAGUCCCAUGUCGGGCUUCCGGCAUGGAGCUUGCUUCUCCCUCUGCUUAUGUCUCUGCCUCUCUGUGUGUGUGUCUCUCAUGAAUAAAUAAAAUCUUUAAAAUAAAGAAAUAAACCAACCUAAAGCAACUUUGAUUUAAUUUAUGAGUAAAUAAGAAGUCUCAUUAAGUCUAGAAGAGAAAGCCCAGCUUUACAAAAGUAGAAUUUGAAAUAGAUUUCCCUCCAAGCUUCACAGUAAAGAACUAGAAUUGGGGUAGGGUGGGGGUGGGUGGGGGAAACUAAGCAGUCCAAACUUAAUUUGUGGGCCUGGAAGGCAAGUGGCCAGGGGACUUGGGGAGUACCUACAAUCUUACCAAAGUUAUUUAACAAUUAUAUCUCAAUGCCCUCAUUUAAAAGAUGAGGAAUUCUUAUUCAAUCGUCUUUAAGGAUACUUCAAGCCCCACCAUGCUGUGAUUUUUAUGGUAUCAGCUACUGGAAUGGAAAGGUUGAAUUUAAAAGACAUUAUAGACAAGAGAUCAUUAAGAACUUGGCAGUAAAUAGAAUGGGGGGAAAAAUGAAGGGAAAAGAGUACAUCAUGGAUGCAGAAGCAUUUUUAAAGCAUAAAGUCCUCUACAAUAUAUGGAGCCAUAAUAAUCAUUAUUAAUCAAAUUCAAUUCAGGAUUGAAUGACAGAAAAAUGCUGCACUGAUACUGCAGAAACUAAUCAAAACAAGAGAAGUUGAAGAUGAGAGAGAAAGUGGGCUUUCCUUGCACAUGCUAAUUGACUCAUCUCCCCAUUAUCUACAGUAUUGAGAUGGAAUUUACCACCAAGGGACAGACCCCAGGGAAUCCUCUUAUUUUUAUGCAACUCCCAACUCCAUUCUUAUUGUCUGAUAACAAUUCCUAGAAAGGUAAAGAAAACAGCUAUUUAAAUUUAGUAAUUAGAAAAAUUUGCUAUCUUUUAAAGACUAUUCUGAUAAUAGAUCUGAACUAUGGUGUGGUUUUCUAAAAAUUAUCAAUAGAAAAACUAAUUAGGAAGAAAUAACAUUUAAAAUUGAUCAGACAACAAAAUACAUUUAGGCUUGUAUUUCAAUUCCAGAUAGACUAUAGACAGGAAAAAAAAAACUUUUUUUUUCCCAACUUAUUAGUAAACUUGUAUGCAAUUCAUUAUCAAACACCUAAAACAAUGCAUCUUUUUUUUCCCCCAGUAAUUUCUACACUCAGUGUGAGGUUAGAACUGACAACCUUGAGAUCAAGAGUCACAUGCUCUACCAAUUGAGCCAACCAGGUACCCCAACUAUAUAUCUUUAAAAGGAUUUUACAGGGUUCAUAAUCAGGACAUGCUACCACAAAAUAUAGCACCUUUGCAUUUUGAACACUUUAAACUGGAGGAAUCUGAAAAACAGCAGAUGCAGGAAGGACUUUAACCUUCCCUGAAGCAAGUCUUAAGUCCCUCAUGUGAAAUAUGCCCUCCCUAUAGAAAGAAGCAUCCCUAUCUCUAAACAGAAAGGGACACAAAAAUAAAUCUGAAUGAACAGGCCCUGUUAAAUUUCUCCAGUUUACUAUAACUACUUCAUAUCCUUUGUCCUAUCGUAUCAUUCCACAACUUCACUCUUCAUAACAAAGCUCAGGUUUAACCACUUAUUCAGAUCUUUUCUUAUAAGAGCCCCCAUGUUAUAUAAAACUUGUAUUAGGGGCAGCCCCGGCACCGCAGCGGUUUAGCGAGGCCUGCAGCCCAGGGCGUGAUCCUGGAGACCCUGGAUCGAGUCCCAGGUCGGGCUCCCUGCAUGGAACCUGCUUCUCCCUCUGUCUGUGUCUCUGCCUCUCUCUCUCUGUCUCU
rnacentral:tRNA from 1 species